rnacentral:rRNA from 1 species
UGGGGAAUAUUGGGCAAUGGGGGAAACCCUGACCCAGCGACGCCGCGUGAGGGAAGAAGGUCUUCGGAUUGUAAACCUCUGUAAGCAGGGAAGAAGAAAGUGACGGUACCUGCAAAGUAAGCCACGGCUAACUACGUGCCAGCAGCCGCGGUAAUACGUAGGUGGCGAGCGUUAUCCGGAAUUACUGGGUGUAAAGGGUGUGUAGGCGGGAAUGUAAGUCAGAUGUGAAAUACCUAAGCUUAACUUAGGCACUGCAUUUGAAACUAUAUUUCUUGAGAGUGGGAGAGGUAAGCGGAAUUCCUGGUGUAGCGGUGAAAUGCGUAGAUAUCAGGAGGAACACCGGUGGCGAAGGCGGCUUACUGGACCACAACUGACGCUGAGACACGAAAGCGUGGGGAGCAAACA